GUCCACGCCGUAAACGGUGGGCGCUAGGUGUGGGGACCCUUCCACGGUCUCCGUGCCGCAGCUAACGCAUUAAGCGCCCCGCCUGGGGAGUACGGCCGCAAGGCUAAAACUCAAAGGAAUUGACGGGGCCCGCACAAGCGGCGGAGCAUGCGGCUUAAUUCGAUGCAACGCGAAGAACCUUACCUAGGCUUGACAGUUGGGGAAAUCUGGCAGAGAUGCCAGGUCCGCAAGGGCCCCAAAACAGGUGGUGCAUGGCUGUCGU
rnacentral:rRNA from 1 species